CCAAAUAUUCCUGAACCGGAUGGUAGUGACGGCGUUCAUAAAUUGUACAGACUGAUUGGAUUGGACUGUGCAGUGAAGAGCGUCCAGGAAAUAACUCCAUCAUUAGGACCGUACCCUAAACCGACACAGGUGGACGCGUUGAGUAUACGAAGGCGCUUGAGAGAAUGAUGCUGAAGGAACUCUGCAAAAUGCCCUCGUAACUUCGGGAGAAGAGGGACCAUGCUGAAGGCAACUUUGGUGUGGUGGCACAGAAAUGGGGGUGGCGACUGUUUAGCAAAAACACAGGACUCUGCAAACACGAGAGUGGACGUAUAGGGUCUGACGCCUGCCCGGUGCCGGAAGGUUAAGAGGAGGAGUGCAAGCUUUGAAUUGAAGCCCCGGUGAACGGCGGCCGUAACUAUAACGGUCCUAAGGUAGCGAAAUUCCUUAUCGGGUAAGUUCCGACCUGCACGAAUGGCGUAACGACUUCCCCGCUGUCUCCAGCAUCAACUCAGUGAAAUUGGAUUCUCCGUGAAGAUACGGAGUACCCGCGGUUAGACGGAAAGACCCCGUGCACCUUUACUAUAGCUUUACAGUGACAUCAGGGAAAUUAUGUGUAGGAUAGGUGGGAGGCUAGGAAGCAUGUGCGCUAGCAUGUGUGGAGCCAACCUUGAAAUACCACCCUUAAUUUUUUUGGUGUCUAACCAUGCGAUACAAACGCUGGGACCCUGUAUGGUGGGUAGUUUGACUGGGGCGGUCGCCUCCGAAAGAGUAACGGAGGCGCGCAAAGGUAGGCUCAGAUCGGUCAGAAAUCGAUCGUUGAGUGCAAUGGCAAAAGCCUGCCUGACUGCAAGACAGACAAGUCGAGCAGAGACGAAAGUCGGUCAUAGUGAUCCGGUGGUUCUGCGUGGAAGGGCCAUCGCUCAACGGAUAAAAGGUACGCCGGGGAUAACAGGCUGAUCUCCCCCAAGAGUUCACAUCGACGGGGAGGUUUGGCACCUCGAUGUCGGCUCAUCGCAUCCUGGGGCUGUAGAAGGUCCCAAGGGUUUGGCUGUUCGCCAAUUAAAGCGGUACGUGAGCUGGGUUCAGAACGUCGCGAGACAGUUUGGUCCCUAUCUGCCGUGGGUUUAAGGAAUAUUGCGAGGACUUGUCUUUAGUACGAGAGGACCGAGAUGAACAUACCUCUGGUGUACCAGUUGUCACGCCCGUGGCAUCGCUGAGUAGCUACAGUAUGGACGAGAUAAACGCUGAAAGCAUCUAAGCGUGAAGCUCCCCUUUAAAUAUAAUCCCUAUGAGGCUCGUGGUAGACCACCACGUUGAUAGGUGAGAUGUGUACGCAUGGUAACAUGUUUAGCUAACUCAUACUAAUGUCCCAUUGCUCUA
rnacentral:rRNA from 1 species